AAAAAACCUAAAUUCUUUGCUUUCCUCCACCCUCCAACACUCAUUGGCUGUCAACCCUAUUAAUUGCCACUGCGCGCCGAUUUACUGUCCGGUGUCCGCAUCUGAAACAACCACACGUCUCUCUGUGUAUUUGUGUUUGUGGAAUUCUUGGUGUGAAAUCCUCGUUCCACAAGAGUGGUGGGUUGUUUUUGUCCAAACCCAAUCACUUGCAUGUGGCUCCCAACUUCUCCUAAUAUUGAAUUAAUUUUUUUUCUUUAGUUUCAAGACUCUAUCACAUCGCAGACCUUCUCCCCCAAUUCCUUCCCUUUUCUGCAGUUUUUUCCUUCUCCCAACAGGAAAAAAGCGGGCAGCUUUUCAUGGGAAAUUUCCACUUACUCUUUUUCUGAUUUAAUUAUCUGGGUGAGGCUAAAGUUGUUGGUUGGAUUCCUUUUUACUCUUUCUACUUGUUCUGUUUUGCUCAAAUCAAUCUUUGAGCAAGUCUUUUAAUUAUAUUCGAAUGGUAGAAUUAAUAUGAAUCAUACGUAUUUCCUAUAUAGAUUGAGAGCAAGUAUAUUCGCAGAGGUGUAGAAAGAGGUCAAAGAAUUUCAGAAAAAUGCUGAUUCCUCUGGGAGUGGUUAAUUAACCCUGUGAAUACAAAUGAUCAUUUAUUGUUUUAGAACCUUAACUUUCACAGUCCACGCCUUGUCUUGGCUAAGCAAUCAAACCUUCUUUGUCUUCCUCAGUUGCUUUCAUGCCCCCAAAAUUUUAUAUAGUAGCUAAAUUCUGUUGUAUUAAAAAACUCAGUCAUUUGUUUAUUCCUUGUGGAUCUCUGCAUUUGGAUUAGGGCGUUGAGCAUUUGUAAACUUUAGUAUGUAUUCUUACCCUUUUAGGAUAAUCAUUAUUGAUGGCCAUUAAGUGAUAGAAAUCGCUGCAUUGCAAACUUGUGUUUUUUGUUUUUCUAAAUAUUUUUUGCAGCAAUUUUCUAUUGAUUUCUAACUAUAAUAGCAAUUUUUUCCCACUAAUUGUGCCUUUGAUAUUUGUUUAAAAUAUCUGUUUCUAUUUGUUGCCAAAAUGUGAAUGUUUUUAAUUAAUUCUCAGUGAGUUUUUGUUGUUUUUGAUUGGUGUACACAUAAUGCCAAUAAAAGGAUUAGGCUUUCCAAGCUUUGUUAGUUUAGACCAAGCUAACCUUGAGCUUGUUGAGGAAUCUAGCCAUGCUUUAUAUUUCAUUUAUCUGUUAAUUGUUCUUAAUGUGCUUGUUCUUGGGUGAAGUUUCUUAAUAUGCCCGGUUAAGCUAGUCAAUGACCUUGCUUUUGACUAUUUGGGGCGUUAUUUAAGCUAUUCACAAUUAUUUUCUCUUUUAGACUUUGUUUCAUUUUCAUUUGAUGAUCAUUGAGUUAUACAUAGCAUUUUAUGCAUGUUAUGGGGAAGGCAAAUUGUAUUUGUUGUUUCCUAAAUACUUGUGUGACGAAAAUGGACUUCCUUUAACACUAAACAUAGUUUACCUCAACCUUCCAAUAUUAUACUUCCAACGUGCAGAGAAACAGUGUUUGAAAUGUCAGAAUGUAAUAUAGAGCUCACAAAAUAUAGAAGCUGUAGCAGUUCUUUUGUUCCUAUUUAUUUUGAAGUAGAGCUAAUUCAGUUGUAGUUGUGAAGACUAUUAAUUUCAAUUACUGCUCCCAUUUUGAGACCACCUUUAAUUUACAAAACUUGCCCAUUAACAUGUCUAAAUAAAAUUCCCAGAAAAGGUAACAAGUAUACUUUUUCAUUUAGCAGAAAAAUAUCUUGAAUUUACCUAUUUAAAAUAGAAAAAUAAUACCUGAAGUGUCCAACGUAGUAAAACUAAUCACUUUGUUUUGAUCCAUUUAGUCUUGUCACUUCAGUAACUUGAAUUUGUAAUUGCAACUAUAUUGCAGAUGGGGGACAUAGCAAAAGACUUGACUGCUGGGACUAUUGGGGGGGCUGCACAAUUGAUUGUUGGGCACCCGUUUGACACCAUCAAGGUCAAGCUUCAGAGCCAGCCUACUCCACUUCCUGGCCAACCUCCCAAUUAUGCAGGUGCAAUGGAUGCUGUCAGGCAGACUUUGGCUGCUGAAGGCCCAAGGGGUUUAUACAAGGGUAUGGGGGCUCCACUUGCUACUGUGGCAGCCUUCAAUGCUGUCCUUUUCACCGUGAGGGGACAAAUGGAGGCAUUGUUGAGAUCUCAACCUGGUGCUCCACUUACGGUUAGCCAGCAGAUUGUUUGUGGGGCAGGAGCUGGAGUUGCUGUUUCUCUCCUUGCUUGCCCUACUGAGUUGAUUAAGUGCAGGUCAGUGUUGUGAUCUCCACUCCCCCAACCCAAAAGGAGUUUGGGGAAAAUGAGAAAUUUUGAUUUUGACCUUUUAAUGAAGCAUCAAUCUCCUGAUUUCAUUGCCUUAGCAGGCUUAGCUCAUUAGUUAUGCAGCUCUACAUGGAGAAGUCUUUUCUGUUUCAAACUUUUCCUGAGAUUUCUGCAAAUUCGUAAAUGUCCUAUAAUUUCGGUGAAUGUCCUAUAAUUUCGGUGAUAAUGUAUAUAUAUAAACCUUCUGGAAUGCUUCUUUUUCAUUUUGCUUUUUCUUGUUCCUUUUUCCCUUCAACCUUUUAAGGCUAUGCUCGAUCUCCCAAAUUUACUAGGUUUUACUGUGCCUGUUGAACUUAAACAAUUUGGUUGCAUCUGUACUGUUUUUUCUUCAAUUUCCACAAGAAUCUUAGUGACAAUCUAGAUCAUUUUUUAACUUUUUUAUCCUUUGUGUAUGAAGAAAAUUCUGAACUUGUGCUUCUACCUGUAAACUGUUUGCUUUCAUAUUGAGGACAGGUUGCAAGCACAAAGUGCAUUAGCUGGUUCUGGUUCUGGUUCUGGUUCGGAAGCUGUGGCAGUGAAGUAUGGCGGGCCAAUGGAUGUGGCCAGGCAUGUUCUCAAAUCUGAAGGUGGUGUGAGAGGUCUUUUCAAGGGCUUGGUACCCACUUUGGGACGUGAGGUUCCAGGAAACGCUGCUAUGUUUGGUGUCUAUGAAUUACUGAAGCAAUCCUUGGCAGGAGGCCAGGAUACUUCUCAGUUGGGAAGGGGUUCUUUGAUGUUGGCUGGAGGCUUAGCUGGAGGAUCCUUUUGGCUAAUGGUAUACCCUACUGAUGUGAUCAAGAGUGUAAUUCAGGUAGAUGAUUACAGAAAUCCCAAGUUCAGAGGCUCCAUUGACGCUUUUAGAAAGAUCCUGGCAUCGGAGGGUGUCAAAGGCUUGUAUAAGGGUUUUGGCCCUGCUAUGGCCCGAAGCGUGCCUGCAAAUGCAGCAUGUUUCUUGGCAUAUGAAGUCACAAGGUCUAGUUUAGGAUGAUUGAUUUAUCAUUUUGACCACUGUUAUCAUUUUGCUUAUCUCGAAGUCCUCUCUUGCCAUUGAAUGAGAGCUUCUUCGAGUAAUUGUUUAGCAAUAUGAUAACAGUUUAUUUAUCAGAAAAUGAAUAGGCCUUUUAUCCUCACAAAUUUCUGUGAUGAAAGAAACACUUACGACACCAAUAGUUGCAUAUUUUUAUCAUUUACAGCAGAUGGUUUUUCAUGUGAUAGUUAAACAAAAGACCUGUAGGUCAGUUCAAGAGCAGAACUACAUCUAUUCUGUACCCAUCCCCAUCCAAGCCAUCUUUAUGAGUUGUCCUCCUAAAGAUGGGAGCUGAAUACGUUACACUAUUUAUAGAUGAG
rnacentral:misc_RNA from 1 species